rnacentral:misc_RNA from 1 species
GAGAGAGAGAGAGAGAGGAGAAAAGAUAUGGUGAACAUCGUUGCAAUAUACAUGACCUUAUUGCAUGGGCUAUUAAAGCUAGCUGGAAUGAGACCACGAGAAGUGGAGAUCCAGCCGGGGACGGUGAUGCACUUCUGGGUUCCAAGAGAAACCAUAGGCAAGCCUGUUGUUGUAUUUCUUCAUGGUUUUGCACUAAAUGGGAUUAUGACAUGGCAAUUUCAGGUGCUUUCUUUGGCCAGAAGUUACGAAGUUUAUGUGCCUGAUUUCCUCUUUUUUGGAGGCUCAAUAACCGAUAAGGCUGAUCGGUCACCGGCGUUCCAAGCUGAGUGCAUAGCCAAGGGUCUAAGGAAGCUUGGAGUGGACAAGUGCACUUUGGUUGGUUUCAGUUAUGGAGGAAUGGUUGGGUUCAAGAUGGCUGAGGUGUACCCUGAUUUGGUUACAUCAAUGGUUGUAACCUGCUCGGUUAUGGCUCUUACCGAGUCCAUUACUCGUAGCGGUUUACAGAGAAUUGGGUUCUCAUCUUGGGCAGAAUAUUUGCUUCCUGAAACAAGCAAGGGUUUGAAACAAAUGCUGGACAUUGCUAGCUACAAGCUGCCCUGGCUGCCUAAUUUUGUUUACAAACAUCUUUUGGAGGUCAUGUUUGAUAAUAGGAAGGAGAGAACUGAACUUUUGGAGGCAUUAAUCACAAGGGACAAGGACUUUAGCAUCCAUGGCUACUCACAGAACAUUCAACUUUUGUGGGGAGAAAAUGACAUACUUUUCAAACUGGAAGACGCUCAUAAUUUGAAAGGGCAACUAAAAGGCAAAGCAACAUUGCAUUCCAUAGAGAAGGCAGGCCACCUGGUUCCUAUAGAGCGACCAUUUGCUUACAAUACCCUCCUCAAGAAAAUUCUGGCCUCUUUCUGUGAAGAUGAAAAGCAGAAAUUGUGAAGAACAACAAUUAGCAUUUUAUUGUCAUUGAGUAGUUUGCUUGCCAUCAAACAGUACUGAUCUGAUGUAAUUUCUUUUUUGAGUUGGGAAAUAAAGAUAAAUUAGC